rnacentral:rRNA from 1 species
UCCAGACUCCUACGGGAGGCAGCAGUGGGGGAUAUUGCACAAUGGGGGGAACCCUGAUGCAGCGACGCCGCGUGGGUGAAGGAGCGUUUCGGCGCGCAAAGCCCUAUCGGCAGGGAAGAAGGAGGACGGUACCUGACUAAGAAGCCCCGGCUAACUACGUGCCAGCAGCCGCGGUAAUACGUAGGGGGCAAGCGUUAUCCGGAUUUACUGGGUGUAAAGGGGGCGCAGACGGCAGCGCAAGCCAGGAGUGAAAGCCCGGGGCCCAACCCCGGGACUGCUCUUGGAACUGCGCGGCUGGAGUGCAGGAGGGGCAGGCGGAAUUCCUGGUGUAGCGGUGAAAUGCGUAGAUAUCAGGAGGAACACCGGUGGCGAAGGCGGCCUGCUGGACUGCGACUGACGUUGAGGCCCGAAAGCGUGGGGAGCAAACAGGAUUAGAUACCCUUGUA